AAGAAGAAGUCAGCUGAAGGAACUGAAUGAGAGGACAUCGAAAACUCAACCAUAGGUUUCCAACUCCGUCGCAGAGCUUGUAUUCGCUCCUUGCAUGCCAUUUUGGUGAAGAAAUAUUGAGGUUUGGAGCAUCUUCUGAGCUGGAAGUUGAAGCUAACUGGGAUUCCACACUGAGAAUAUUUCGGGAGGAGGCAGAAGAACAGUUGAGUGGCAGAGAAAGCAUCUGUUACUAAGUCUGACUGCACCUGGACACCAUCCACAGGUGCUGGUGCUAUAUAUAAGAGUUGCCUCGGCUCGUGUACACUUUCAUCUUCUCUCAAUGACCUGGAGGAGGACGAGGAGGAGGCCAGCAGGAAAAGACAUCAUCCUCUCGUUGCUUGGAGACACGAUGCAUUGUGGAUGGGAGCCCAACUUGUCAGGACUCCACUAUCAUGUCUGGGACGUCUGUUUUUACGAUGCUGUGCUGGGAGUUGAAGUAAACCAUGGAGAGCGGCCGUCGUUCAGUGGGGACACAACAGGACGACGCUCCCGUGUUGAUGCCAUUGACCUUCAGCUGGCUCAGGACGGUGGCGUGGAAUGAGGAUGCAAUCCCUGGCGAGCCCGAGAGGUGUUGGGGGCACUGACCCAUGCAGUAGUUCAUGUGGUAGCCCUUGGGAGCGAUGAUCCAGUCGUGCCACUGGAUAUCCUCAAACUUGAUGUAGAAGUCUCUCUUGCAGCACACGGUGACAUCAUCGCCACAGCGCAGGGACCUCUUCCUGAGAAGGUGUUUGCUGUGGUCGUCACGGAGACGCACCUGCGCCACCAGAAAGGGCUUGAAGGGCGUGUCGGACGACUUGUCCAGGGAGCAAACGUUUUUCCCACCGUCGUCACAAACGACCUCCAACCUCAGAUGGUUUUGCCCUCCGUCCAGGAAGGUCUGCAGGGGUGCGAUUGGAGGCGGAGUCCACACCGUCUGCUGUGAGGAAGACUCGGGCAGGAAGCCGGGAGUUCCUUCUGGGGUCGCCGGAAGACUGGACGUAGAUCCAGAGAGACGACUGCAACACCUGGAUGCUCUGACCGUGCUGUUGGAGAAACUGGAAGGUGAGACUGAGACUGGCCUCAUCGCCUCUCGCUGAGUCAUCUGUGAACACAUGACGAAUAAUGGACAGUUAGCUUUGGACCGUCUCUGUUCAGAAUCUCGCCAACUUAGGGACUAAUAUAUAAACACAAAUUAUUUGUAUUGGACCCUUAAAGUAUUGUGUAUUCCCAUUCUGCUCCUGCGACGCAACAAAGAUGGACUCUACUGCAGCAA